AACGAACGCUGGCGGCAGGCUUAACACAUGCAAGUCGAACGGGUGUAGCAAUACAUCAGUGGCAGACGGGUGAGUAACACGUGGGAACCUUCCUAGGGGUACGGAACAACUCAGGGAAACUUGAGCUAAUACCGUAUACGUCCGUGAGGAGAAAGAUUUAUCGCCCUUAGACGGGCCCGCGUCGGAUUAGCUAGUUGGUGGGGUAACGGCCUACCAAGGCGACGAUCCGUAGCUGAUCUUAGAGGAUGAUCAGCCACACUGGGACUGAGACACGGCCCAGACUACUACGGGAGGCAGCAGUGGGGAAUCUUGGACAAUGGGCGCAAGCCUGAUCCAGCCAUGCCGCGUGAGUGAAGAAGGUCUUCGGAUUGUAAAGCUCUUUUGCCAGGGACGACAAUGACGGUACCUGGAGAAUAAGCCCCGGCAAACUUCGUGCCAGCCGCCGCGGUAA
rnacentral:rRNA from 1 species